rnacentral:ribozyme from 14 species
AUGGAAACAUGCGGGCUACCACUCUGAAAAACUUUUUUUUUUCUCUUUUUUCUUUUUCCCUCUUUUUUUU